rnacentral:rRNA from 1 species
GACGAACGCUGGCGGCGUGCCUAAUACAUGCAAGUAGAACGCUGAAGGAGGAGCUUGCUUCUCUGGAUGAGUUGCGAACGGGUGAGUAACGCGUAGGUAACCUGCCUGGUAGCGGGGGAUAACUAUUGGAAACGAUAGCUAAUACCGCAUAAUAGUAGAUGUUGCAUGACAUUUGCUUAAAAGGUGCAAUUGCAUCACUACCAGAUGGACCUGCGUUGUAUUAGCUAGUUGGUGGGGUAACGGCUCACCAAGGCGACGAUACAUAGCCGACCUGAGAGGGGGAUCGGCCACACUGAGACUGAGACACGGCCCAGACUCCUACGGGAGGCAGCAGUAGGGAAUCUUCGGCAAUGGACGGAAGUCUGACCGAGCAACGCCGCGUGAGUGAAGAAGGUUUUCGGAUCGUAAAGCUCUGUUGUAAGAGAAGAACGAGUGUGAGAGUGGAAAGUUCACACUGUGACGGUAUCUUACCAGAAAGAGACGGCUAACUACGUG